rnacentral:SRP_RNA from 2 species
GCCAGGCAUGGUGGUGCGUGCCUGUAAUCCCAGCUACUCAGGAGGCUGAGUCAGGAGAAUUGCUUGAACCCAGGAAGCGGAGUUUGCAGUGAGCCAAGAUUGCACCACCGCACUCCAGCCUGGGUGACAGAGCGAGACUCUGUCUCAA